ACGACCUUACUUGAACAGGAUCUGUUCUAUAGGUUCGUACAAUUGUCUCUUAGAAUUCUAACGAGAUAGGCACUAUAGUCUGGUUGAUGAUUCAGGACCUCAGGAUCGUAGCGUGAUUAACGGUGGGGAUCUCUCGCGGUCUCUCACAGUAGGGGAUCUCACGACCUUACUUGAACAGGAUCUGUUCUAUAGGUUCGUACAGGGG